UAUAGCCAUAUCACGAUGAAACACCGGUUCCCGUACGACCACCGAUGUUAAGCAACGUCGAGACUGGUCAGUACCUAGAUGAGUGACCGCUUAAGAAUACAAUGUGCUGUAAG
rnacentral:rRNA from 1 species